CAAGAAACAGUUUUUGUGAAAUUUAGUAAAUAACAACCCCUAGAUUUACCAAAAUUCCCUUCGAGAGGGAAAAUACUCGGCCAUCCAAAUUGUACAACGUGCCUUCAAGAUUCUCAGAUUUCGUCACUGGAGGUGGAUGCCUCUAAAGUGUCCUCAUGUUUGGGAAAGGGGUUUGUGCUUACACUUGGUCCUUGUCCACCCUUUCCUCUUAGCACUAUUUCCCCAGCCUCGAUCAUGUCUUGGACUUUGUGCUUAAGUGCCCUGCAAUCGACGGUUGAGUGGCCGGGUACCCCCGAAUGAUAGGCACAAAUAGCAUGUGGAUUGUACCCAGCAGGCAUGCCAUGAAGGUAAGUUGGAGGGGGAAUCACGCCUAUUUUGUUGGCAACCUUCAAUUGCUCAUACAUUUGGUCCAAAGGCCUGCCUAAGUUGGUGAAGGUUCGGGUACGGCUUUGAUUGUAGGUUUCAAUGGGUCGGGGAUAGUUGUAGGUGGGUCUAUUUGGUGGGGGAAAUCUUUGGUGGUAAGGAGGCCGAGGACGAGCUUGUUGAAAGCUUGGUUGAGAUAUUUGGAAAGGGGUUGUAGGCGGGUUGGCAUAAUUUGAGCGAGGUCGAGGAUGAGUGAUAUUGGUGUGGUAAACAGGAUAAGGAUUUGAGUAGUAGGGGUAAGGGUUUGAGUUGGUAGGGUAUUGUCGAGGUUUGGGUCUUGGGAUAGGGUUUUGAUUCCAGGUGAAGGCAGUUUCCCCCUCUUUCUUUUUAAAUUGCGGGUUCUUCUCACUAGUCCCCUGUCCUUGCAAAGCAUCCAACUGAGUUUUCAGGGCAGACACAUUGACGAUCUUCCCAGCUUUCACGAAGUCAUCGUACUCCUCAAGUUUAUUGACAAUGGCGGCAAACGAGCAUCCAGUCAUGCGGAAAAUUUCUUCAAAGUACGGGGGAUCGUGUGCCUUAAUGAAAGUCCGUAUGAUUUCGUCCUCAGUCAUCGGUGGCUCGGCUUUGGCAGCUAUUGUCCUCCACCUCUUGGCAUAGGUCUUGUGAUCCUCGGAUGGUUUUCUUUUUGUUCCUUCCAACGUGGUUCGUGUCGGAGCCAGCUCGCAGUUAUACUCAUAUUGCCUUACAAAAGCAUUGGACAAGUCCAGCCAGGUCUUUGCUUCUUCGGGUUUCAGCUUGGAAUACCAGUCGAGUGCAUCCCCCUCCAGACUUUCUGGGAAUAGCCUCAAAGGCAGAUUUUCAUCAUCUGUUGGCCUACCCAACUUGUUGGCGAACAAUCGGAGGUGUGUCUUGGGAUUGCCCGUUCCAUCAUAUUUGCUGAAUUUCGGGGUUUUGAAUCCCUCAGGCAAUUGAACAUUUGGAAAGAGACACAGCUCGUCGUAGUCCAGCACUCCUUGUUUGCUCAAACCCUGACUCUUUCUCAUGAAUUCAUCAAAACGGUCAAGGCGUUUGAGCAGCUUUGUAUCAACGGGAGCGGAAGGUCCCCCCAUUUCUGGCUUGGCUUGAACAGUAGAGUCUGGUAGGAAUGGCUCAGCAGCCGGGUGAUAAAAGGUAUGUGGCUCAGGUGGUAUAUUUGAAGUGAUUUGGGGUGGUGGACCUCGCGUGUGAGUAAGAAAAAAU
rnacentral:lncRNA from 1 species